GAUGAACGCUGGCGGCGUGCCUAAUACAUGCAAGUAGAACGCUGAAGGAGGAGCUUUCUCUUCUGGAUGAGUUGCGAACGGGUGAGUAACGCGUAGGUAACCUGCCUGUUAGCGGGGGAUAACUAUUGGAAACGAUAGCUAAUACCGCAUGACAACAGUUAUUGCAUGAUAACUGUUUGAAAGGUGCAACUGCUCCACUACCAGAUGGACCUGCGUUGUAUUAGCUAGUUGGUGAGGUAACGGCUCACCAAGGCGACGAUACAUAGCCGACCGGAGAGGGUGAUCGGCCACACUGAGGCUGAGACACGGCCCAGACUCCUACGGGAGGCAGCAGUAGGGAAUCUUCAGGAAUGGAAGGAAGUCUGACCGAGAAACGCCGAGUGAGUGAAGAAGGUUUUCGGAUCGGAAAGCACUGUUGUAAGAGAAGAAAGAGUGUGAGAGUGGAAAGUUCACAGUGUGACGGUAUCGGACCAGAAAGGGACGGCUAACUACGUG
rnacentral:rRNA from 1 species